CCUACGGGAGGCAGCAGUGAGGAAUAUUGGUCAAUGGGCGCGAGCCUGAACCAGCCAAGUAGCGUGAAGGAUGACUGCCCUACGGGUUGUAAACUUCUUUUAUAAAGGAAUAAAGUGAGGCACGUGUGCCUUUUUGUAUGUACUUUAUGAAUAAGGAUCGGCUAACUCCGUGCCAGCAGCCGCGGUAAUACGGAGGUUCCGAGCGUUAUCCGGAUUUAUUGGGUUGAAAGGGGGAGUAGAUGGGUUGUAAAGUCAGGUGUGGAAGUUUGCGGCUCAACCGUAAAAUUGCAUUUGAUACUGGCAGGCUUGAGUACAGUUGGGGUAGGCGGAAUUCGUGGUGUAGCGGUGAAAUGCGUAGAUAUCACGAAGAACUCCGAUUGCGAAGGCAGCUUACUAAACUGCCACUGACAUUGAUGCUCGAAAGUGUGGGUAUCAAACAGGAUUAGAUACCCGAGUAGUC
rnacentral:rRNA from 1 species